rnacentral:rRNA from 1 species
GAAUCUUCCACAAUGGACGAAAGUCUGAUGGAGCAAUGCCGCGUGAGUGAAGAAGGUUUUCGGAUAGUAAAACUCUGUUGUGAGGGAAGAACAAGUAUGAGAGUAACUGAUCGUACCUUGACGGUACCUCAUUAGAAAGCCACGGCUAACUACGUGCCCGCAUCCGCGGUCAUACGAAGGUGGCAAGCGUUGUCCGGAAUUAUUGGGCGUAAAGCGCGCGCAUGCUGUCCUUUAAGUCUGAUGUGAAAUCCCACGGCUCAACCGUGGAAGGUCAUUGGAAACUGGGGGACUUGAGUACAGAAGAGGAAAGCGGAAUUCCAAGUGUAGCGGUGAAAUGCGUAGAGAUUUGGAGGAACACCAGUGGCGAAGGCGGCUUUCUGGUCUGUAACUGACGCUGAGGCGCGAAAGCGUGGGGAGCAAACA